rnacentral:tRNA from 1 species
GUUACUGUAGCUUAACCUUAAAGCCUGGCUCCGAAGAUGCCAAAAUGAGUACACUACUCCAGAAACA